rnacentral:SRP_RNA from 1 species
GGUGGCUGCACCGGUCCCCCCGCGACGAGUCGCUGUGAACCCCGUCAGGCCCGGAAGGGAGCAGCGGCAGCAGCGAUCCUCGGGCGCCGGGGUGUGGCUGGUGUGGCUGCCUCCACCC